ACUCAAAUGAAUAGACGGGGGCCCGCACAAGCAGUGGAUUAUGUGGUUUAAUUCGAAGCAACGCGAAGAACCUUACCAGGUCUUGACAUCCCAUGCAUAGCUAGGAGACUAGUGAAGUCCUUCGGGACAUGGAGACAGGUGGUGCAUGGUUGUCGUCAGCUCGUGUCGUGAGAUGUUGGGUUAAGUCCCGCAACGAGCGCAACCCUUACUAUUAUUUGCUACGCAAGAGCACUCUAAUGGGACUGCCGUUGACAAAACGGAGGAAGGUGGGGACGACGUCAAAUCAUCAUGCCCCUUAUGACCUGGGCUACACACGUAAUACAAUGGCGAUUAACAGAGGGAAGCGAUACCGCGAGGAGGAGCAAAACCCCAAAAAUCGCCUCAGUUCGGAUCGCAGGCUGCAACCCGCCUGCGUGAAGUCGGAAUUGCUAGUAAUCGUGGAUCAGCAUGCCACGGUGAAUACGUUCCCGGGCCUUGCACACACCGCCCGU
rnacentral:rRNA from 1 species